AACGUAGGAGACAAACGUUAUCCGGAGUUACUGGGCGUAAAGGGCGUGUAGGCGGUUAGUUAAGUCUGGCGUGAAAGCUCUCGGCUAAACCGGGAGAGGUCGUUGGAUACUGGCUGACUAGAGGACGGUAGAGGCGUGUGGAAUUCCGGGUGUAGUGGUGAAAUGCGUAGAGAUCCGGAGGAACACCAGUGGCGAAGGCGACACGCGGGGCCGUACCUGACGCUAAAGCGCGACAGCAUGGGGAGCAAACGAG
rnacentral:rRNA from 1 species